CCUACGGGAGGCAGCAGUGGGGAAUAUUGGACAAUGGGGGCAACCCUGAUCCAGCCAUGCCGCGUGUGUGAAGAAGGCCCUCGGGUUGUAAAGCACUUUCAGUGAGGAAGAACGCCUGGUGGUUAAUACCCAUCAGGAAAGACAUCACUCACAGAAGAAGCACCGGCUAACUCCGUGCCAGCAGCCGCGGUAAUACGGAGGGUGCGAGCGUUAAUCGGAAUUACUGGGCGUAAAGCGCGCGUAGGUGGCUUGAUAAGCCGGUUGUGAAAGCCCUGGGCUCAACCUGGGAACGGCAUCCGGAACUGUCAAGCUAGAGUGCAGGAGAGGAAGGUAGAAUUCCCGGUGUAGCGGUGAAAUGCGUAGAGAUCGGGAGGAAUACCAGUGGCGAAGGCGGCCUUCUGGACUGACACUGACACUGAGGUGCGAAAGCGUGGGUAGCAAACAGGAUUAGAUACCCCAGUAGUC
rnacentral:rRNA from 1 species